rnacentral:rRNA from 1 species
UACAGAGGAGCCAAGCGUUGUCCGGAUUGACUGGGCGUAAAGCGCACGCAGGCGGAUGCGCGCGUGGGGGUGUGAAAUCUGGCCGCUUAACGGCCAGGCGCCAUCCCAUACGGCGCGUCUGGAGUGAUGCAGAGGUCGAUGGAAUUGCCGGUGUAGUGGUGAAAUGCGUAGAGAUCCGGAGGAACACCAGAGGCGAAGGCGGCCUGCUGGGCUGCACCUGACGCUGAGCCGCGAAAGCCAGGGGAGCGAACGGG